AACCCUAGAAACUGCUGCCUCGUUUUGCCAAAAAUCUGAGUUUUUGAUAAAGCGUUCCACGUUUUACAAGUAGAUCGCACGGCACUCAGAGAUGUUAAUGGAACCCUAGAGAGUAUCUCUUCUACCAAAGCCACCGGAAGAUCAGAGAUUGUCCUCAUGU
rnacentral:sRNA from 1 species